rnacentral:rRNA from 1 species
UGCCAGCCGCCGCGGUAAUACGAAGGGUGCAAGCGUUACUCGGAAUUACUGGGCGUAAAGCGUGCGUAGGUGGUUGUUUAAGUCCGUUGUGAAAGCCCUGGGCUCAACCUGGGAACUGCAGUGGAUACUGGACGACUAGAGUGUGGUAGAGGGUAGCGGAAUUCCUGGUGUAGCAGUGAAAUGCGUAGAGAUCAGGAGGAACAUCCAUGGCGAAGGCAGCUACCUGGACCAACACUGACACUGAGGCACGAAAGCGUGGGGAGCAAACAGGAUUAGAUACCCUGGUAGUCCACGCCCUAAACGAUGCGAACUGGAUGUUGGGUGCAAUUUGGCACGCAGUAUCGAAGCUAACGCGUUAAGUUCGCCGCCUGGGGAGUACGGUCGCAAGACUGAAACUCAAAUGAAUUGACGG